rnacentral:rRNA from 1 species
CCUACGGGAGGCAGCAGUGAGGAAUAUUGGUCAAUGGACGAGAGUCUGAACCAGCCAAGUAGCGUGAAGGAUGACUGCCCUAUGGGUUGUAAACUUCUUUUAUAUGGGAAUAAAAUGUUCCACGUGUGGGAUUUUGUAUGUACCAUAUGAAUAAGGAUCGGCUAACUCCGUGCCAGCAGCCGCGGUAAUACGGAGGAUCCGAGCGUUAUCCGGAUUUAUUGGGUUUAAAGGGAGCGUAGGUGGAUUGUUAAGUCAGUUGUGAAAGUUUGCGGCUCAACCGUAAAAUUGCAGUUGAAACUGGCAGUCUUGAGCACAGUAGAGGUGGGCGGAAUUCGUGGUGUAGCGGUGAAAUGCUUAGAUAUCACGAAGAACUCCGAUUGCGAAGGCAGUUCACUGGACUGCAACUGACACUGAGGCUCGAAAGUGUGGGUAUCAAACAGGAUUAGAUACCCCUGUAGUC